rnacentral:rRNA from 1 species
UACGUAGGGUGCGAGCGUUGUCCGGAAUUAUUGGGCGUAAAGAGCUUGUAGGCGGUUUGUCGCGUCUGCUGUGAAAAUCCGGGGCUCAACCCCGGACUUGCAGUGGGUACGGGCAGACUAGAGUGUGGUAGGGGAGACUGGAAUUCCUGGUGUAGCGGUGAAAUGCGCAGAUAUCAGGAGGAACACCGGUGGCGAAGGCGCUGCUCUGGGCCGGUACUGACGCUGAGGAGCGAAAGCGUGGGUAGCAAACAGG